UACGUAGGGUGCGAGCGUUGUCCGGAAUUAUUGGGCGUAAAGAGCUUGUAGGCGGUUUGUCGCGUCUGCUGUGAAAAUCCGGGGCUCAACCCCGGACUUGCAGUGGGUACGGGCAGACUAGAGUGUGGUAGGGGAGAUUGGAAUUCCUGGUGUAGCGGUGGAAUGCGCAGAUAUCAGGAGGAACACCGAUGGCGAAGGCAGAUCUCUGGGCCGUUACUGACGCUGAGGAGCGAAAGCAUGGGGAGCGAACAGGAUUAGAUACCCCCGUA
rnacentral:rRNA from 1 species